rnacentral:lncRNA from 1 species
AUGCUCGGGUCGUGCAUUUUUAUAUGUAAACUCUGUGAAAAUUGUAAGUCACGUCUAUCAGAUUAUAUUAUAUUAAGUAUAAUGCAUAAGCUAUGUGAAUAUAUCCGAAAUCUCUGGAUUGGAGCGUCAGCCAACCCUGUCAAGUCGAAGAGGGCACUCUGCUUGACUUAUCUGGCAGCGAUCUGGUUGGUGGUCUGGAGGGACAGGAAUAACUAUAUCUUUCGUGGAUCGGUACCUAAUGCUUCUCGGUCGCUAGAGUGCAUCAAACUACUCAAGAGUAGCUGGUCAGCAGUGCUUUAAAGCGACCCUCCCCCUUUUUUCUUCCUUUCUUUACUUCUUCUCCUCCCCCCUCCAUCCUCUUCUUUUGCUUGUUUCGUAUCUUUUUUGCCUGUUCUUCGAAAGCCCUAGUUGCUUCCAACAUGUACACUCAGUUCAUUUAUCUUAAUGAAUGAAGCAGAUAGCUUACUAUCUAUUUCUCAAAAAAAAGAAUACACUCGGUUUGGA